UACAGAGGGUGCGAACGUUGUUCGGAAUUACUGGGCGUAAAGCGCGUGUAGGCGGCAGCGCAAGUCGGGCGUGAAAUCCCACGGCUCAACCGUGGAAGUGCACUCGAAACUGCGCAGCUAGAGUCCUGGAGAGGAAGGUGGAAUGCUUGGUGUAGAGGUGAAAUUCGUAGAUAUCAAGCGGAACACCGGUGGCGAAGGCGGCCUUCUGGACAGUGACUGACGCUGAGACGCGAAAGCGUGGGGAGCAAACAGG
rnacentral:rRNA from 1 species